rnacentral:rRNA from 1 species
AUUGAACGCUGGCGGCAUGCCUAACACAUGCAAGUCGAGCGGAGCGGCGAACGGGUGAGUAAUGCCUAGGAAUCUGCCUAGUAGUGGGGGAUAACGACCGGAAACGGUCGCUAAUACCGCAUACUAUUAGAUGGGCCUAGGUCGGAUUAGCUAGUUGGUGGGGUAAAGGCCUACCAAGGCGACGAUCCGUAACUGGUCUGAGAGGAUGAUCAGUCACACUGGAACUGAGACACGGUCCAGACUCCGACGGGAGGCAGCAGUGGGGAAUAUUGGACAAUGGGCGAAAGCCUGAUCCAGCCAUGCCGCGUGUGUGAAGAAGGUCUUCGGAUUGUAAAGCACUUUAAGUUGGGAGGCGUUACCAACAGAAUAAGCACCGGCUAACUUCGUGCCAGCAGCCGCGGUAAUAC